rnacentral:rRNA from 1 species
CAGUAGCCACGGUAAUACGAGGGGGGCAAGCGUUGUUCGGAAUUAUUGGGCGUAAAGGGUGCGUAGGCGGCUUGACAAGUCUUGUGUGAAAUCUAUGGGCUCAACCCAUAGUCUGCACGGGAAACUGUCGGGCUUGAGAAUGGGAGAGGUGAGUGGAAUUUCCGGUGUAGCGGUGAAAUGCGUAGAUAUCGGAAGGAACACCUGUGGCGAAAGCGGCUCACUGGACCAUUUCUGACGCUGAUGCACGAAAGCUAGGGGAGCAAACAGGAUUAGAUACCCCAGUAGUCCCUGUCUCUUAUAC